UUCUGAGCGGGUGCAGAGCUUGGCUGAUUGGUGAACGUGCAUGGCUUGUGUUUUUGUUCACAGUGGCUAAGUUCUUCACCCGAAAAGAA